UUAUAACUGGGUGUUAAGGCCUGUCCAGUUCUUCAGUUUUCUUACUUGAAUUUUCCAGGUGGCAACCAGAUUUCCAAUGGUCAAUUAGCCUUAAGGACUGAAACUCGUUGAGGUUUUGGGCCUCAAGAUGUGCUUGGGUGACAUGUUUUAAAUCCAUAGCAGUAGUCUAUCCUUACCAACUGGUCUAGCAAAGCACUUACUGGUGCCCUCUGUACACUCGUUCAAUAUGUUUUCAUUGUUGUUUCUUCAGACAUAACCAUAGAUAAGGGACCUGGACAUUAUUCCUUUUCAAAGGUCAAACCAGAUACUUUGUUCUAAUAUUAAUCAAUAGCUUAUUUCUCUGUAUAUUAGUUUAUCUGGGGCGUUGACUUUGGUAGUUUCUUGGGAUAACAAUUAUAAUUUUGUUCCAGCUACUCCUUUUAGGUCGACUUACAGUAACGCCCCUAAGAAGGACACCAGCAUGAAUAAAGCUCAGAAAGAACAGCUCCUAAGGAUAAUGGCUUAUCCACCAUAUUAGGGAUGGUAGGUUUGUAACCGGUUUCGGUCAAAAACCGGUCUGAUGAAGAAAAAAAAACGGUUUUUUCGAACCGGCCAAGGGAAUCGGUUAAAACCGUAAAACCGGCCUAAACUGCUAAAAAAACCGGUUUUUUUUUGUUGUUUUUUUUUCGAUAGUAAGUUUUAGAGGCGAUUGAACGCUUCGUCGUGGCCGGUGCUCUUGGGUCUCCGCCUCGCUACAGACUGCGCAGCGCGCUCGAGCUGGGCCGAGCCGAGCGAGCGCCGAGCGCCGAGCCGAGUCCAAGCGCGAGCCGCUGGCGCUGUCUGCAGCGCGGUGGUUCAUUUUCUUGCCGAUAGAUCACAGCACGCUCUGAGCGCCGCGCCGCCGGCCUCGUGAGCUGUUGACAUCAGCUGAUCUCAUUCUCAUUCAGUCUUCAGCUUCAGUUUCGAGUCAAAUUUUGUGGGUCAGGUCAGUGGUCAGUGACACCUGUUAAGUAUCGAGUGUGAACGUAGCCGUUGCUUAUCGUUGCCAUGGGAGGCAUCAGCGCAGUCUGGAACUACUUCUCCCGCUUGCCGAACGCAAGUGGAAAAGUGUAUUGCAGAAAAUGCGAGCGCCGCUUCACCCACCGUGUCGGGGGAGGGACGUCCACCUUGAUUCAACACGUCGCUUCUGCCCACGGUGUUAAUCUCCCUCGACGCGGUGGGCGGAUUUCAAGGCUUGGGCCUCAGCAGUCACCCUCCUCAUCCUUACGAGAAGAGGAGGACGUCGACGGCGACCUGAGCAGUGAAGCCGGCAGCAGCGCCGCGGCUACGCCGACGCCGACAACACCCACAACUCCUCGAUCUAGCAACAACAUCAGCACUCCAAGAUCUCGCCCAUUUUCGGGCCCAUUUCAACGUUGCAUCAAUAACGUUACUUCAUUCGCUCCAGGGGGACACCGGGAUGCCGAGAUAACGAAUGCGCUGUUGUUCAUGGUGGCCUCAGAGAAGCUCCCGCUCAGCUUCGUUGAGAAGGAGGGGUUCAAGUUAUUCAUGAAGAAGGUACAGCCUAUGUACAAGAUCCCUUCCGAACCGACUGUGCGGGCGCUCCUAACCUCUAAAUAAGAAGUGCUCAAGGGAAUUAUUUGCGACGAGAUGAGCAAGACAGAGGGCCUCAGCUUGACAAUGGACAUUUGGACUCAGAAGAGCACAAUGAGAAGUUCGCUCGGCGUGACAGCACACUACGUGAAAGUGUUGCCUACUAAGAGGAGAGUUCUACGCUCUAUUGAGCUUUGCGCUCAGCCGCUCACGGAACGCAAGACGAUUUCGUAUCUCCGCUCAGUCAUGAGAGAUAUUUGUGAAAUGUGGGGCAUCACGAAGGAUAAGGUACAAGUCAUCGUCACGGACGGCGGGGCGAAUAUCAAAGGAGCAGUGUGAGAAGAAUUUGGAGCUGACAAGCACAUGUCCUGCUUUGCUCAUUUGAUCAACAUUAUUGGUCAGUCAGUUCUCAAGCCAUCAUCAGCCUACAUUAAACCCUCUGAGCGUGAGCCAGAUGCAGCAGCAGAAGUGGAUGUUCACAUUCCAGAUAAUGAAUCAGACUGUGAAGAUGACACUGUUGUUCCUCCUGCACCUGCCUCCACUGAAAGUGUUGAAUUUCCUUAGUUGUUACUAAAGGUCA